GAACUCACUUCAGCAACACAUAUACUAAAACUGGAACAAUACAAAGAGGAGUAGCAUUGCUCCUGCACAAAGAUGGCAUGAAAAUUUGUGAAGUGUACUAUAGUUUA
rnacentral:snRNA from 1 species